rnacentral:tRNA from 1 species
CAGCGUGUAGUUCAGCAGCAGAACGCCAGGCUUGAGACCUGGAGGGCGCAGGGGCAGCACCUGCCACGCUGG